AGCAGCGUGUCUUAGUGGAAAGAGCACGGGCUUGAGAUUCAGAGAUGCUGGGUUCUAAUCCCAGCUCAGCCA
rnacentral:tRNA from 1 species